rnacentral:rRNA from 1 species
AGUGAACGCUGGCGGCGUGCCUAAUACAUGCAAGUCGAACGGAGUGGCGCACGGGUGAGUAAUGUAUAGCUAAUCUGCCCUACACUAGAGGACAACCGUUGGAAACGGCUGCUACUACUCUAUAGUGUAGGAUGAGGCUAUAUUGUAUCAGCUAGUUGGUGAGGUAAUGGUUCCCCAAGGCUAUGACGCAUAACUGGUCUGAGCGGAUGAGCAGUCAAACUGGAAGUGAGACACGGUCCGGACUCCUUCGGGAAGCAGCAGUAGGGAGUAUUGCGCAAUGGGGGAAACCCUGAAGCGGCAACGCCGCGUGGAGGAUGAUACUUUUCGGAGCAUAAACUCCUUUUGUUAGGGAAGCGGUACCUAACGAAUAAGCACCGGCUAACUCCGUGCCAGCAGCCGCGGUAAUUC